AACGAACGCUGGCGGCAGGCCUAACACAUGCAAGUCGAACGCCCUAGCAAUAGGGAGUGGCGCACGGGUGCGUAACGCGUGGGAAUAUGCCCUUCACUGCGGAAUAACGUUUGGAAACGAACGCUAAUACCGCAUAAUGACUCCGGUCCAAAGAUUUAUCGGUGAAGGAUUAGCCCGCGUUAGAUUAGCUAGUUGGUGAGGUAAUGGCUCACCAAGGCGACGAUCUAUAGCUGGUCUGAGAGGAUGAUCAGCCACACUGGGACUGAGACACGGCCCAGACUCCUACGGGAGGCAGCAGUGAGGAAUAUUGGACAAUGGGCGCAAGCCUGAUCCAGCCAUGCCGCGUGAGUGAAGAAGGCCUUCGGGUUGUAAAGCUCUUUCAGAUGUGAAGAUAAUGACGGUAGCAUCAGAAGAAGCCCCGGCCUAAAUUCGUGCCAGCAGCCGCGGUAA
rnacentral:rRNA from 1 species